UACGGGGGGGCAAGCGUUGUUCGGAAUUCCUGGGCGUAAAGGGCUCGUAGGCGGCCAACUAAGUCAGACGUGAAAUCCCCAGGCUCAACUUGGGAACUGCGUCUGAUACUGGAUGGCUUGAAUUCGGGAGAGGGAUGCAGAAUUCCAGGUGUAGCGGUGAAAUGCGUAGAUAUCUGGAGGAAUACCGGUGGCGAAGGCGGCAUCCUGGACCGAGAUUGACACUGAUGAGCGAAAGCUAGGGGAGCAAACGGG
rnacentral:rRNA from 1 species